rnacentral:rRNA from 1 species
UACAGAGGUCUCAAGCGUUUGUUCGGAUUUAUUGGGCGUAAAGCGUGCGUAGGCGGCGGGGUAAGUGAGGUGUGAAAUCCCAGGGCUUAACCCUGGAACUGCACUUUAUACUGCCUUGCUCGAGGGCUGGAGAGGAGACUGGAAUUUACGGUGUGGCAGUGAAAUGCGUAGAGAUCGUAAGGAAGACCAGUGGCGAAGGCGAGUCUCUGGAAAGCUGCUGACGCUGAGGGCACGA